AGAACGAACGCUGGCGGCACGCCUAACACAUGCAAGUCGAGCGCCCAGCAAUGGGAGCGGCGGACGAGUGAGUAACACGUGGGAACAUGCCUUUUGGUUCGGCACAACUCAGGGAAACUUGAGCUAAUUCCGGAUGAGCCCGUAAGGGGAAAGAUUUAUCGCCAAAAAGAUUGGCCCGCGUAAGAUUAGCUAGUUGGUGAGGUAAUGGCUCACCAAGGCAACGAUCUUUAGCUGGUUUGAGAGAACGACCAGCCACGUUGGGACUGAGACACGGCCCAAACUCCUACGGGAGGCAGCAGUGGGGAAUCUUGGACAAUGGGGGAAACCCUGAUCCAGCGAUGCCGCGUGAGUGAUGAAGGCCUUCGGGUUGUAAAACUCUUUUAACCAGGGAAGAUAAUGACUGUACCUGGAGAAUAAGCCCGGCUAACUUCGUGCCAGCAGCCGC
rnacentral:rRNA from 1 species